rnacentral:rRNA from 1 species
CCUACGGGGGGCAGCAGUGGGGAAUAUUGGACAAUGGGCGCAAGCCUGAUCCAGCCAUGCCGCGUGAGUGAUGAAGGCCUUAGGGUUGUAAAGCUCUUUCGCCGGUGAAGAUAAUGACGGUAACCGGAAAAGAAGCCCCGGCUAACUUCGUGCCAGCAGCCGCGGUAAUACGAAGGGGGCUAGCGUUGUUCGGAUUUACUGGGCGUAAAGCGCGCGUAGGCGGAUGAAUUAGUUAGAGGUGAAAUCCCAGGGCUCAACCCUGGAACUGCCUUUAAUACUGUUUAUCUAGAGUAUGAAAGAGGUGAGUGGAAUUCCGAGUGUAGAGGUGAAAUUCGUAGAUAUUCGGAGGAACAUCAGUGGCGAAGGCGGCUCACUGGUUCAUUACUGACGCUGAGGUGCGAAAGCGUGGGGAGCAAACAGGAUUAGAUACCC